rnacentral:rRNA from 1 species
UACGGGAGGCAGCAGUGGGGAAUAUUGGACAAUGGGCGAAAGCCUGAUCCAGCAAUGCCGCGUGAGUGAUGAAGGCCUUAGGUUGUAAAGCUCUUUUACCAGGGAUGAUAAUGACAGUACCUGGAGAAUAAGCUCCGGCUAACUCCGUGCCAGCAGCCGCGGUAAUAA